rnacentral:rRNA from 1 species
GAUGAACGCUGGCGGUGUGCCUAAUACAUGCAAGUUGAGCGCUGAAGGUUGGUACUUGUACCAACUGGAUGAGCAGCGAACGGGUGAGUAACGCGUGGGGAAUCUGCCUUUGAGCGGGGGACAACAUUUGGAAACGAAUGCUAAUACCGCAUAAAAACUUUAAACACAAGUUUUAAGUUUGAAAGAUGCAAUUGCAUCACUCAAAGAUGAUCCCGCGUUGUAUUAGCUAGUUGGUGAGGUAAAGGCUCACCAAGGCGAUGAUACAUAGCCGACCUGAGAGGGUGAUCGGCCACAUUGGGACUGAGACACGGACCAAACUCCUACGGGAGGCAGCAGUAGGGAAUCUUCGGCAAUGGACGAAAGUCUGACCGAGCAACGCCGCGUGAGUGAAGAAGGUUUUCGGAUCGUAAAACUCUGUUGGUAGAGAAGAACGUUGGUGAGAGUGGAAAGCUCAUCAAGUGACGGUAACUACCCAGAAAGGGACGGCUAACUACGUGCCAGCCGCCGCGGUAA